rnacentral:rRNA from 1 species
CCUACGGGGGACAGCAGUGAGGAAUAUUGGUCAAUGGUCGGGAGACUGAACCAGCCAAGCCGCGUGAGGGAUGAAGGUACAGAGUAUCGUAAACCUCUUUUGUCAGGGAACAAAGGCGGGGACGUGUCCCCGGAUGAGUGUACCUGAAGAAAAAGCAUCGGCUAACUCCUUGCCAGCAGCCGCGGUAAUACGGAGGAUGCGAGCGUUAUCCGGAUUUAGUGGGUUUAAAGGGUGCGCAGGCGGUCUGUUAAGUCAGCGGUCAAAGCCCGGGGCUCAACCCCGGCCCGCCGUUGAAACUGGCAGUCUCGAGUUGGAGAGAAGUAUGCGGAAUGCGCGGUGUAGCGGUGAAAUGCAUAGAUAUCGCGCAGAACUCCGAUUGCGAAGGCAGCAUGCCGGCUCCACACUGACGCUGAGGCACGAAAGCGUGGGUAUCGAACAGGAUUAGAUACCCUAGUAGUC